UACGAAGGGGGCUAGCGUUGUUCGGAAUUACUGGGCGUAAAGCGUGCGCAGGCGGUCCUUUAAGUCGGGGGUGAAAGCCCAGAGCUCAACUCUGGAACUGCCUUCGAAACUAGAGGACUUGGGUACGGGAGAGGUGAGUGGAAUUCCGAGUGUAGAGGUGAAAUUCGUAGAUAUUCGGAAGAACACCAGUGGCGAAGGCGGCUCACUGGCCCGUUACCGACGCUCAGGCGCGACAGCGUGGGGAGCAAACAGG
rnacentral:rRNA from 1 species